GCAACCAGAAACAAUUAACUUACCAACUGGCUUAUUAGGCCUGGAAUAAUUAAAAUGCAGCAUAAAAAACUGGACUUUCAGACUGGAAAAAUAUAUAGAUGAGGGGGAGCAGUGGAGAACCCAGC